rfam:Nitrosospira sp. Nsp11 genome assembly, contig: Ga0111721_101
UCUCCCGCUUUUCCUCCCUGAGCGGGUACCUUAAUCCCUAUUAAGGUAUGUUUGCCCCCGGUUUUAUUCCCCUUUAACCGGGGGUUUUUUAU